UGUUCUUCAAGAUUAUGGGCAUCCUUUUCACCCGAAGAUGAAGGCCUGUUACGUCAACAUUCCUCUAAAAGAAAAGGAAAAGAAGACAAAAAAUACUGAUCAAAACAGGGCCUCCUUCGCAUGCCGCAUAGUCAAUAGACAGACGAGUCGUCCGAACAUUUCCGGAGUAUCGGGAUCAUCCUGAUGGCGUCCACAGCAAAGAAACGGAGUAGCGGGACUGCUUUGUUACACGAUUAACUGCAGGAAUUCUUGCUACAAAUGUUCAGGAAAGUAUUUUUCCGCUUCUCGAAGCACAAAGCAAAGCAAGGACCUGAAUUUCUAUUACUCGCUUUAUUUUGAAUUGCAGUCGUUGCUUUUAACUAAGAUCUUGGUGAAAAUUCGUCUGCUACACUUAGGUACAUGACGAUUGUUUACAUUUAAUCGCGAAGGAAUAUGCACAGUUGUGAUGGCUUUGCGAGUGUAAUUGCAUUGUGGAUGCAUGCCAUUACUGUUAGUAUAUUAUUCUUUUGAGGGCAAGAUUUUGUUAGUUGAUGCAUAAGUUUGGAAAAUUCGUCGAAAUUCGUUUUUCAUCCACUGUCUUGUCGAUCGCUACUGUUGUACUGUUUAGUAACGUCGAAGAAUGAGAAUUUUAAAAAGUGAGGAAGAAACAUUGAAAGGUUGAUAGAGCGGUUGUUAGUCAAGCUACAACAGUUGUUUCAUGGAUCUCAAUGCUUGGUUUUGUUUUUUCUUGUUCUUGGGUGUAAACAGUAAAGGUUUAGCUUUUAUCCUUUCUUGAUUUUUUUGUGUCGUCGUGCAGUUAGUGUAUUGUAGCACAUCCUCUAACAGUCAAAUAUUCCUUUACCCAUAGGUGCAAAGAUCGGAUCCAGAGGAUCAGGAGAAAGGAUACGAAGGAUGUAAAAAUAUUCUAUAAUUCAGAUUAUUUCCUGUGCAAUGACUUCUGUAGAGUGGUAUCACAAUCCAUUUGCUUUGUACCAGGCUGUCAUGUGCAGCUGGCAGAAUCAAAUGUCCUCUUUUACACUGUUGUGUAGCUUACAAAUUGUGGGUAAGGUUCGCAGUGAUUGUCAAGACAAGUUUACUGGGAAACUUUCUUGCGCACAGCACGAGCAGUUCCUGUCCUUGAAACAGUAUAUGCUUCACUGGAAGGCAGUCUCACAGUGCUAAGCACACAGUUGUUUCAUGUGAUUAAAGAGUUGGAGGAAACAUUCACAGACAGUGUGGAACACAUUCUGCACAUGGAUAAAGUGGUAGGAAAAUUAAUUAUGCAAGAUGAAACAGUUAUUUAUCUGCUCAUUUGACAGACCUUGCUCUUUGAACAAAAUGGUGAGACUUCUCUUCUUCAAUUUAUGUCUAAAGUUCAUGUUGAAAGAUGAUACAAGAUCUUUUGGAGAUCAGUGAGCAUAUAAAAAUAGGAAAUUGAUGAGAUAAACCAUCUCUAUGCCUCAGAAAAAAGCUUAAAAAUUCAGGUUAGUUUCUAGGUUGUAAAGCCCAUAUUUUUUUUUCCUCUCUAGCUUUUCCUCUUCCUUCCAAUAUGCUGGGUCUUGAUGUUUAAGAGGAUGCAGGUGAAUUUUUUUACUAUUUUAUUUUUGCUAACUUGUUCUAUGUCUUUGUUACUCUUUUGUGAUCUUGUUCAGCACAAUGAGUCCACCUUUGGCUGAGAUAUUGCGCUUUAUAACUUCCCACUUAUUAUUAUUAUGCAUUGUUAACUUUGGUGUGCGUGACAAUUUUUGAGCAAAUACUUUGCUUUCAAUAUAAAUUGUUAAACUGUAUGGAUGUCAGUUCAAAAAGUGAAAGUGGGGCUGGAUAGGACACACCCUGCACAAACCAGCUGACACCAUUGCCAGACAGGCAUUUGACUAGAACUCUCAAAGAAAAAGGAGAGCUGGGAGGCCAAAGCAGACUUGGAAAAGAACAGUAGAGAACAAGGCAAAGGACGUCAUAACCACACAGGCCCAACUGAAGGGGUGCAGCCCAAAACCGGUCCUCUGGUGAGGUGUUGUUGGGGCCCUAUGAUCCUUGAGGAGUAACAAGGAUUAAACAAGUGGAUUUUCUUCUUUUAUUUUUCUUCAUUCGUUUCAUUUCUCUUUUUAGCUGAAAGGUUUAUGUUAAUAUUAUAUUAUAAUAUUAAUUUUUUUGCUUGUAAAUAAAUUUCUGCAUAGGUGUGUAAAUGUAACAUUUAAAUUUGUUUUUCCAUGAAUGAAGAGUGCAAUAAUGAUUACGCACAUGCAUAUUAGUGUAAAGAUAAAACAUGGUAAAUAAAUAAAAUGGAAUAGAGCGAGUAGCAGCACUAGAAAUAGAUAAGGUGGAGAGAUAUAAGCAACUAUGUAAGUCUUUGAUUAGAAUCAUAAUUCUUCUAGUUUUGACACAUUAAUGUUGCAACACACAUGAGAUGACACAGAGAAGCACACAAAGGUAUUAUCAUUCAGUUGCGGUCAUCACUGGACUUUGAUUUAUUCUGCAAAACCCCAACAAACAAUAUCACACAUCGUGUCGUUAUCUCCCUUGCUCCUGACUGUCGCAUGGAGUACUAGCAGCAACUUGUACCUUAUUUUUUAUAGGGGGACUAUGCCUUAAUUAUGACACAUCUUUCCAAUCUACAAUCUUUGGUUACACUGAAGUAGACUGGAGCUAUUUUGUCACAAUUGAUACACAGUGAAAUUCUUUUCAAAUUAAUUUUUUUGUAAUUUAUAAAACAUUUUUGAGAACUACAUAGUAUAAAAUCAAAGUCAAUGCUAAAGAACUAAAUAAAGAGGUCUAAAAAAAAGCAGCAUAUAUAAAA
rnacentral:lncRNA from 1 species